rnacentral:rRNA from 1 species
GAUGAACGCUGGCGGCGUGCCUAAUACAUGCAAGUCGAGCGAACAGACGAGGAGCUUGCUCCUUUGACGUUAGCGGCGGACGGGUGAGUAACACGUGGGUAACCUACCUAUAAGACUGGGAUAACUUCGGGAAACCGGAGCUAAUACCGGAUAAUAUUUCGAACCGCAUGGUUCGAUAGUGAAAGAUGGCUCUGCUAUCACUUAUAGAUGGACCUGCGCCGUAUUAGCUAGUUGGUAAGGUAACGGCUUACCAAGGCAACGAUACGUAGCCGACCUGAGAGGGUGAUCGGCCACACUGGACCUGAGACACGGUCCAGACUCCUACGGGAGGCAGCAGUAGGGAAUCUUACGCAAUGGGCGAAAGCCUGACGGAGCAACGCCGCGUGAGUGAUGAAGGUCUUCGGAUCGUAAAACUCUGUUAUUAGGGAAGAACAAACGUGUAAGUAACUGUGCACGUCUUGACGGUACCUAAUCAGAAAGCCACGGCUAACUACGUG